rnacentral:lncRNA from 1 species
AUAGAUCUCUAGGAGGACAUACGGUGGUGAUAAGAGGGUGUCUGGACACCCGGGUUCUAAAAAGCCACUCUCAUAAACGAAAAGGUGCUAUAACACCCGGGAGUCCCGGCACCCUCUAAUCCGAGCUGUACAGUGAUGGUAAGAUUCGUGUUGUUUGCUGCUGAGCUGCAAACCAUUUACAGUCUCUGCUAAGUAAGCAGGCUUUGUUAAGCAGGCAAACAGCGGCCGCAGGUGUAACACGGAGAGCUAGAUUUGAUAGGAGGUUACGUGGGUCCCGAUCGAAGUGACAACACAGUCUGUUUGCAUGUGUUUUAGAUUACAACCCCCACCACGUGUUCGAUACAAACACAGUCUGUUUGCAACGGAGUUCCCUAAGGAUUUCACAUCAACGGCAGCUCCAAUGACCUUUUUACUCCAUUCUAGAGAGGCCCGACACGUCUCUUCCUUUUCUUUUACAGCAGGCCUGAUAUGUCAACUCAGUGUCCCUCCUCUUGUGUCGCUCGAUGGAAUCAACCUACAACAUACAAUGUCAGACUAGGUGUCCUGUCUCAAGCGCUUAGCAAGUUAUGACCUGCUAAUCCAUAUUCGGUACAGUGCAUGGCAUAGAUCUCUAGGAGGACAUACGGUGGUGAUAAGAGGGUGUCUGGACACCCGGGUUCUAAAAAGCCACUCUCAUAAACGAAAAGGUUCUAUAACACCCGGGAGUCCCGGCACCCUCUAAUCUGAGCUGUACAGUGAUGGUAAGAUUCGUGUUGUUUGCUGCUGAGCUGCAAACCAUUUACAGUCUCUGCUAAGUAAGCAGGCUUUGUUAAGCAGGCAAACAGCGGUCGCAGGUGUAACAUGGAGAGCUAGAUUGGAUAGGAGGUUACAUGGGUCCCGAUCGAAGUGAUAACACAGUCUGUUUGCAUGUGUUUUAGAUUACAACCCCCACCACGUGUUCGAUAGAAACACAAUCUGUUUGCAACGGAGUUCCCUAAGGAUUUCACAUCAACGGCAGCUCCAAUGACCUUUUUUACUCCAUUCCAGAGAGGUCUGACACGUCUCUUCCUUUUAUUUUACAGCAGGCCUGAUAUGUCAACUCAGUGUCCCUCCUCUUGUGUCGCUCGAUGGAAUCAACCUACAACAUACAGUGUCAGACUAGGUGUCCUGUCUCAAGCGCUUAGCAAGUUAUGACCUGCUAAUCCAUAUUCGGUACAGUGCAUGGUAUAGAUCUCUAGGAGGACAUACGGUAGUGAUAAGAGGGUGUCUGGACGACACCCGGGUUCUAAAAAGCCACUCUCAUAAAUGAAAAGGUGCUAUAACACCCGUGUGUCCCAGCACCCUCUAAUCUGAGCUGUACAGCGAUGGUAAGAUUCAUGUUGUUUGAUGCUGAGCUGCAAACCAUUUACAGUUUGCUAAGUAAGCAGGCUUUGUUAAGUAGGCAAACAGCGGCCGCAGGUGUAACAUGCAGAGCUAGAAUUGAUAGGAGGUUACGUGGGUCCCGAUCGAAGUGACAACAUAGUCUGUUUGCAUGUGUUUAGAUUACCACCCCCACCACUUGUUCGAUAACAACACAGUCUGUUUGCAACGGAGGUCCCUAAGGUUUCACAUCAACGGCAUCUCCAAUGACCUUUCUACUCCAUUUCAGAGAUGUCCGACACGUUUCUUCCUUUUCUUUUACAGCAGGCCUGAUAUGUCAAACUCAGUGUCCCUCCUCUUGUGUUGCUCGAUGGAAUCAACCUACAACAUACAGUGUCAGACUAGGUGUCCUGUCUCAAGCGCUUAGCAAGUUAUGACCUGCUAAUCCAUAUUCGGUACAGUGCAUGGUAUAGAUCUCUAGGAGGACAUACGGUAG